UAUUGCCUUGGACCUCACUAGAGACAAAUGCUUUCUUAUGGUUGUACAAGACUAGAAAUUGGAGUUCAGAUUACAAACGAGGGUGUGGCUCGGGACACCAAUAGAGGUCAUACCAUAGCUGCAGUGGCUGAUUGUUUUUGCUUGGCAAAGGAUGCUGGUUUUAAGGUCAGCCUAGUACCUUAUCAUAAAACUCACUUACCUUCACCGUGGGAAAAGAACGGGUUUUGGACCUUUUAUCAAAACAAUUUGUGAGCCUGGAGAUAUUUUUCAAAUUAUUGUGCUCUCCCAUAAUUCAGCGAGAAUAUUUAAGCAAAAUCUAGUUGGUUUUGGUGUUACCAUUCACUUUGUCUAAGUUCAAGAAGAAGCAUGUAUUUGUAUGGCUGUAACCUUUAUGAAUUGCAAUAUUAAAAGCCUUGAGACUGAUCUCAUGCUACAUCAUUUAAUAAACAAGAUGGACCCGCCCAUCUCAUAUUGGAAACCUAUAUCCCUUCGCAACUCACAACAAUAAUUUAAUUGUGUUCGUAUCGUGCUUGCCAUGUUAAAUUGAGCCUCCUUGUUUUUCUCUUUAUUUUUAGUCGAAACUACAUACUCAAAUUUUAUAUAAUCUAUACUAUUAUUAAAAAAAAAGCCUUGUGAAAAUCUUUCCUACUGAGUGAGCUAGUAGCUCACCCCGUGACAUGUGUUGAAUCAGAGAUUUGAAAAGUAGUUGAUUUUUGCUGGAGGUGCAUAUAAACUUUUGUAAUGCAAAUCACACUGUGCUUAAUUGGGUGUUUUGUAGAAACCUUGUGAUAUAAAAUGAGUUAUCUUUUUUCUUUUCUUUUUAUUCGUGCACCAAGUGAGGUUAUUUUUCUACCAAGAGCCUGACAUUCUUUACUUUAACUUGGUGUAUUUUUACCCAUCACUCUCAAAUGUUAGUAUUGUUUACCAUUCUACACAUUUGAAAUUUAAACAAAUAUAACAAUGAUAUGCACUACACAUAUUUCAAAACUUAAAAUAAUGUAAUUGUGAGAAUUUGAAAGUAAAAGAGUACCACAAUGAUGAAAGCAAAAACCUUGCAAGAGUUUAUAAAAGGUUAGACUACUUCUCAUAUUGUUAAUUACUUUUAUAGUGAAACCUUAACUUUUCAUAGUAUCAGAGCAAGUUGGCCUACGUGUGAAGUCCAACGGUCACACGUGUUCCACGUCACCUAAUUCCUGUUGUUCACGUGUUUGAUUAGUAAGAAUAUAAAAGUAAAAAAAAUCUUAUAUUGAUAAAAGAAUAUCCUUUGCAAAAGUUUAUAAGAAAUUAGAAUACUUUUUAUAUUGUUUACUGUAUAAACUUUAAUAGGAGCUCACCUCGUUAAUGCACUCCUACGCCGAUUCCUAUCUCGAGUUUCAAGGUUUUGCAAAUUGCCACUUGCAUCAAAUUAUUACUUUUCUCCAUGAUUCUCGGUCUUUGUCGAAAAGUCUACGUAAACCAUUUGACGUAUUAGUUUUGUCCAAAAACAGUGGCCUUUGUCCCAUUAAAUAUGGGCAAGAGUUAAGGAUCCUCUACGGUUUCUUUUUGUGAAAAUUUGAAGGAUUAAUUAAUCGUGUGUAUUUAUUGUACAUUGUGUAACUAGAAAUUAUUUAAAUUUUAUAUUUAAAAUUAAAUAUAAAUAGUAUUUAAGGAAAAUUGAUCGUACAAUGUAUGAUGAACGAAUACGUUUAAUUGAUCAUCUGAUCUCAAAAAAAGAAUUCGAAGACCGAUCCUCGUCCGCGUCAUACCAAUUAGUUUAUAUGCACCUUGUUCGACCCCCAUUUUUAUUCACCACUAAAAAAAAUUAAAUUAAAUCUCGUUUUUUAUAAAUUCUUAAUCUUUCAUUUUUAUUAUCCCACCAGAAUAGGGACAAUCAAUUCACAUGGAAGAAUUUGUUUGGCCGAAUCAUUUCAUAGAAAUAUCAGUAUUUUGAUUGAUCUAAAUUUAUGUAAUUUAGUAAUUAUUCAAUUUACCGAGUGACAAAAAAAAUGAAUAUAAUCAACUAAAAUGAAAAUCAUUCUUUAUAUUAUCUUUUUAAAAAUUGCACAUCGUAAAAAGAUACAGUAAAAAUUCUUACUGCGAUUAUGACUCAUAAUAUUUAAUUAUCUCCUAAUACUUACUUCCAAUUAUUUUCCAUUUUUCAUAAAUUUGUAAUCUUCUUCUCAUAUUUGAUAUUUUCAAAGUUCAUUAACAAAGGAGUCCAACAAUAACGUUAAUUAUAGCCUAAUGCAAUUGAAGCAUAUCAUUGCAACUCUUUUGUGAGCCUUCAUAUUCCCCGAAGUAUGUCAUUCUGCACUCUUACUACCAUACAUGAUAUCUUUCUAGAAUUUAUCUGGAAGAAAGUAUAACUAUAAGUGCUUAUGAGCUAUAUCUGAAUUUUUUAUUUUUUUUUAUUUUUUUUUCUUAUUAUAUAUGUCACUCAAGUUCAAAGCAUUCAAACUUGAACACAAAAUUUCAAAUUCGAUUUCUUCUUUAACAAUAUUGCUUGUAUAAAAAAAAGGGGGUAAGUUAUUGAUUUGUACACCAUUAAGUUGAAUUUGGUUGCAAGUCUAAUCAAUGUUAUUUGGUGUUUUAUUUAAAUAAUUUAAGCAAGCAAAAAUGUCAUGUUUGUCGUGUUUUUGGUGUUUUCGUGUUCAUACCCGUUAUCGUAACGGGACGUGUCAUGUCGAACCCGUUACUUUAAUGAAUUCUUAACAAGUAAUCCAAUAACGACUCAAUUUGUUAACAGGUCGUGUCGUCUCAUGUCUCGUUAACAGGUCAUGGAAGAAUUUAAUACACCUAAUAUCUAGAUUUGGAUAACGAUAUCUUAUUAGGUUCUUAGUAGAUGACUUGAUAAUGAUUUUGGUCGUUAACGAAUUGCACUAUGUGCUAGUCAGGCGGCAAGCAGAGGCCUAUCCAGUUUUUUUUUUUAAUUUUAAUUAAAUUUAGAAAAUUGCUAUUAGCAUUCUAAAAAUCUAAUUGUACACUCCAUACUUUUUAUACUUAAAGUUAAUCAUAUUUUAUUCUCUGACACUUAAAAUUACAAAAAUACCCUUUACAAGCUUAGUGGAAAUCCUAAGUGGACAUUUGGGUUCUUGUCAUUCUUUGUCCCGUUCACAUCUUUCUAGGUAGUACAUGUCUUUAGAAACACAUGAGCACAAAAGAGGUGUAAAUCGAACUAUUUAUGCACAUUUUUUAAUGAGAUAAAAUAAUAAUUUGCACCAUCAUGAAUCCAUAACUUGUUGGUUGUCAGUAUUGCAUGCUGCAAACUGUGAUAUUGAGGAGUUAUUCGUUGGACUCGUUAAGCAAGUGGACAAGUAGACUCAUCUCUGUUUGUGUUUAAUAAUUAAGUCCCGUACAUAAUUAAUUAUUUUUUAGGCUUGAACCAAAGACACAUACAUGCUCUCGUUCACUACGAUUGCGUGAACUCAAACUCAUUAAAAUUUGAAGAUACGACAAAAAUUUUACGAAACUCGAUAUCAAGAGAUUAUUAUAAUUCUACUUUGAUCAGUGCACUACCAAUUAUUUAAUGUUUUUUUUCAAAUAAUUGGUUUUGGUAGGUGGAACGUAUCCACGUGACCACUCCUCUUCCCGGUGUAGUUUCAUUAUUUCUCGAGACAUUUACUGAAAUACAAAGUAGUACACCACGUGUCAUUAUAUCAAUGUUGAAAUAUAUGUGUUAAAAAAUUAAUAUCUUAACAAAUACAAUUUUUCACUACUUAUAUAAAAACACGUAAUGUACCACUCAUAUUCCCGUUACAAUAAAAAAUUUCUCCUUCCCCUCAAGUUUCACUCAGCUGUGCCACACUCAUUCUCUUGAAAAAUUGUGAGUGACACUGAUACCCUCUUAAAACUUAAAAAUUGUGAGAGAUACCCUCUUAAGUUUCCACACUAUAAAAUUCUCAAUUUCUGCGCAUGGGAUUGGUAAAAAGUAGGAGUUGUAUACAUGUAAUUAGGGUUCACGUUUUGUAAGUUAUAGCUCCUCUAAAAGGAUUUCGAAUUUCGAAUUUCGAAUUUCGAAGUUAUCGACCAAAAAAACCCUCCCCCCUCACCAAACCAAUCUGGUGUAUAUAUUAGGGAGAAAACUUCCAUAAAACGAUAGAUGUAUAUACUAUUUCCUAAUAGUAAUAGAAGAAUAUUAAAAGGCAUGAGCACGAAAAGCGCUAGUGAGUCUUCUAAUGUAUAAAUUUUCUUACGAUAAUGUGUAUAUUUCAACUGGUGACAAUAUCCUUUUUUCUCCUCCAAAACAUCAAUGCUAGUCAGUUGAAGAUAAAGAUUAAUUAAGCUGCUAAUUUGGAGUGCAACGUUUGAACCUUGGACGGCUACCUAUAUUCUUUUAACUAGUGGAAAACAAAGAGACAAUGGUUUGGCACCUUUUAUUAAUAUUAUUAUGCCUUAAAUGUUAAAAUGGUCUCUGUGUUUUAGUCACUGGGUUAAUUUAGUCCAUGUGUUUUCAAUUUGUUCAAUUUGGUCCUUGUGUUUAUCUCCGUUAGCCAAUUAAGAACAUUUCCAUUUAAUUUAUGUAAAAGAAUUAUAAAUUAUUAUAAACUUAUUUAUAAAAUUAUAAUUUAUUUGAUUUAAAACAUUUAACAUGGAAUAAAAUAAAAAAAUUAAAAGAAAAUUUAUCCUCCUCCCAACUCUCCAACUUCAUCCCUAACAUUACCCCGUCUCAUUUCUAUGUCACAACCUUUAUCAUUUUUCAAAUUGGAAGUUUUAUUUCGUAUCGGUGUUAUUUCUCAUUGAUUUGUAUUUUUCUGUAUAGAAAAAAGAUAAUUAUUUCUCAUUUGAUUUUUCUUAUAAAUUUUUUAAAAGAGAUUGAAUGAAAUGUUCUCAAUUAGCUAACAAAGACAAACAUGAGGAUUAAAUUAACCAAAUAAAAAAUACGAAGACUAAAUUGGCCAUAUAACUAUAACACAUGAACCAUUUUAAUAUUUAAGCCUAUUAUUAUUUUCCAUUUCUUUAAUUUAAUUGCUUGCGUUACUCACAUCUUUUAAGGUAUCAUAUACUUUACCUUUUCUUUAUUUUAUUAUUAUUGGCUUCUAUUCAUAUGGUCCGGGAUCAAACUAUUUAUAAUUCAUUGUCCUCCACACUUACUUUAGAGAAAAUUUGAAAUAAGUUCAAUUUUAUAAACUACUUUUGAAAUAAGUUCAAUUUUUAGUUAUUUUAGAUUUAUAUCAAAAUAUCCCUACUUUUUAAAGGCUAUUGCCCAUUAUAUUCCCUUUUAUCACCCAACUUCCAGUGAAGAAAAAUACUUUUUGUCAACCAUUUUUGUUUGACAAAUUUCCCACAUUAUGCCUCUACAAACAUCAACUUAAAAAAAAAAAGUUUCAAUAUAAUGAAUUCUUAAUAGGUGGCCCAAAUUAAGACUCGAAUAGUUAACAAAUUGUGUUAUUUUAUGUCCAAUUAGCGGUCAUGCAAGAAAUUAAUAUACCUAAUAUCUAGAUCUAAAAAACGAUAUAUUAUCAGUACACCAGCAGUUAAUCAGUUGUGUUAUUUUAUGUCCAGUUAAACUAAAUAACGUGUCACCAAUAAGAAAUAAACAUGUUAAUUAACUUUUAAGUAAUGAUCAAUUCACCAACUUUCAUAUGAUUUAAUUUACAAUUUUAGUCCAAAAAUUUAGUUACUCAAACAUUACUCCUACUCUUAUCAGUACACCAGCAGUUAAUUAAUAUAUUUUUUUAAAAAUCUGAUCGGUGGGACGCACCCACUUCCCCGUGUAGUUUGACUCUUUCCCUCCGAAAAUUUUUCGUUUUGACGGAAAUACGGAUGAUACACUAUUUAUUUUUAUGUAAGUGGUGAAAAAUUUUAAUUUUUAAAUUAUUAAUCUUUUAACACAAAUAACCCACCAUUUAUAUAGAGACACAUAAUAUACCAUUUCGUGUAAUGAAAACAUUGAAAAAUCUCUCGUUUCCCUCACGUUUCCCUCAGUUAUGUUACACUCAAUUGUCUCAAAACACUCAAACAGUCAAACUCUCUCAUUCUCACUCCUCUCCCUUUUCUCUCUCUUUCAACUCUCGCCAUCUCUCCCUUCUGUGCGUCAGAGAAGCCGAGCACCAGAGAGCGGCCACCCCACCGGACCAUCAAACCUCUGGCUCUCAUCUCUGUCACACACUCUCUUUCGACCCUCUAUAUGUGCACACGCUGCACAGAAACGCAGCAGGAACACCACCCUCAUUCGCCAUUUUUGAUCGACCGAGGUAAGGGUCUGGACCACUGGAUUGAUUUUCCCUUGUCAUUUUGAUGAAGAUUGACUCCUUGCAUGUAUGUUUUGGCGAGGUUGGAGUGCAGAAACAAUUCGGGAAACAUGUCCCCUUUUUCCGGCGAGGAGACCCGCGAGCCUCCUUGUUUUUUCUUUAUUUUUAAUUGAAAAUAUACAUACUCAAAUUUCAUAUAAUCUAUACUAUUAUACUAUUAUUAAGAAAAGAGGCCUUGUGAAAAUCUUUACUACUGAGUGAGCUAGUAGCUCACCCGUGACAUGUGUUGAAUCAGAGAUUUGAAAAGUAGUUGAUUUCGAUGGAAGUGUCGAUAAAAUUUUGUAAUGUAGAUUAGAUGCGUUUGAGUGUUUUGUUGAAACCUUGUGAUGUAUAAUAUCAUAAUAUGAGUUACUUUCAUUUUCAUUCGUGCCCCAGGAGAUGUUAUUUUUGAGAUGUAAUAUUCACAGAUUCAAUUUUACUUCUUACACAUCUUUCUAAUUUUUGACCGUCGGAUCAAAUGAAUUGAAGAAGAUCAACGGACAGAAAUUAAUAAGAGGUGCGUGAAAAGUAAUUUGUUAUGUGAGAAUAGCAUACCCUUUUUUUUUUUUUACUGAUUUGAAUCUUGAACCCGACACUUCUAUACUAUAACUUAGCGUACUUUUGCUUACCACUAUGAACGGAUAGUAUUGUUCAUUACUCUACUACUUAUUAUCAUUAGAAGAUUUUAAAUUUUGUCUAUUCUACUUGUAUAUUGAAAUUUAAAUUAAUGUAACAAUAGUAUUUAUUACACAUAUUUUGAAUUUAAAAUUUAAACUAAUGUAACGAUAUUUAUUACAUAUUUUGAAAUUUAAAUUAUGUAACAAUGAUGAAUAAAAUAGUGAACAUCAGCAAAAUUAUUUCCUAUAAAUUUUAAUACGAUCUCGAUUCUCACCUCGUUAAUGCAUCCUACGCGGCUUCCUAUCCCGAGUUUCAUGGUUUUGCAAAUUGCCAUGUGCAUCAAACUAUUACUUUUGUCCAAAAGUCUUGGUCUCUGUCGAAAUGUCUUCGUAAGGGUAAUGCUAGGGAGUUUAAGGAAAUUUAAUUAAUUUUUUUUAGAUUUUAUGAAAAGUUUUGAUUCAGCUCCUUUCAAAAUUCUAGAAGGAGAGGGUAGAUUUGUGAAUACCUAAAAUAGCACAGCAAAAUUUCUCAAUUCCCUCAAUUCCUUAACUUUUUAAUUUUUUUUAAAAUAAAUUUUUGAUUGAAUACACAUAAAAUGUUAUAAACUUUUUUGAAGUCCUAAUUAAAAAUUUCCAGAAUUUUAAUGAUUUUAAUAAUCUAUAUUAAAAUUUUGAUUGAAUACACGUUAAAUUUCAGAAAAUUACUUAAAAUCCUGAUUGAAUACUUCUAAAUUCAUUAAAAGAAUUAAAGUCUGUCAAAUUCUUAAUUGAAUACACAUUCCUAAAUUUGUAGACAAAAUGUAAAAUAAUGAUGUUUUAUCAAUAAAAUAAGCUUUUAUCAAAAUUUAAGUAAUAAUUCAUUCAUCAAUUUUCAUAUAAUUUAAUUUAUAAAAUUGUAUCUACAACUUUUGUCUCGCCACAUUACCCCUUCGUAAAUAAUUUGAUGUAUUAGUUUUGUGUCCAAAAGUACUGGUCUUUGUAUCAUCAAGCAUGGACAAGAGUUUGUGUUAUAGGCUAUAGCGAUUAGAUUACAUAAACCUAGUGCCCACGAGAAUAUGUACAAUCAAAUUAUUUUUUAAACAAACGAUUUUAAAUAGAAGAAUUUGUUAGGCCGAAUUAUUACAUAGAAAUAUUGGUUGAUCUAAAUGCAUGUAAUUUGGUAACUUACCGAUUGACCCAAAAACAAUGAAUAAAUCGACUGUAAAGAUGAUCAUUACCUAUAUUUCGUAAACAAAUACAGUAAAAAUUCUUACUGGGUUAUGACUCAUAAGAUUAAAUUAUCUCUCUAAUAGGCUAAUACUUACUUUUAAUUAUUUUCCAAUUUUUAUAAAUUUGUAAUCUUCGUCUUCUUCUCAUAUUUGAUAUUUCAGAGUUCAUUAAUGAAGGAAUCCAACAAUAACGUAAGUUGUAGCUCAAUGCAAUUGAAGCAUAUCAUUGCAACUCUUUUGUGAGCUUUCAUAUUCCCCAGUGUAUGUUAUUCUGCACUCUUACUGCCACAUAUAAUAUCCUUCUAGAAUUUAUCUGGAAGAAAGUAUAAGUGCUUAUGAGAUAUAUCUGAUUUUUUAGUUUUACUUUUUUUCUUCUUAUUUUAUAUAUGUCACUUAGGUUCAGAGCAUUCAGCCUUCAACACACAAGAUUUCAAAUUCGAUUUCUUCUUCAACAAUAUUGCUUGAAUGAAAAAAAAAGGGUAGGUUGUUGAUUUGUACACCAUGAAGAUGAAUUUGGUUGUAGGUCUAAUCAUUAUUAUUUGAUGUUUUUAUUUAAAUAAUUUUAGCAAGCAAAUGUCAUGUUUUAUUUUUCGUGUCAUACUCAUUAUCUUAACAAAUCGUAUUGUAUCAAACUCGUUAUCUAAAUGAAUUCUUAACAGGUAAUCUAAUAAUGACUCGAUUCAUUAAUGGAUCAUGCCGUUUCAUGUCCAGUUAAUGGUCAUGCAAGAAUUUAAUAUACUUAAUAUCUAGAUCUAGCAAACGAUUUCUAAUAAGGUUCUCAACGAGUGACUUGAUAAUGAAUCAUACUAGGCGCAAGUCGGGCAGCGAGCAAGGGCUAGCUUAGGCGGAGGGCCUAGGUGGUUUUUUUAAUUUUAAUUAAAUUUAGAGAAUUGCUAUUGGCACUGCAAAAAUCUAAUUGUACACUCCAAACAUUCUAUAUUUAGAAAAAAAAAAUCUUAUGAAGAGUAUACAGAGUGCUGAUAAUAAUUGCCUAAAUUUAUUAUAUAACAUAUAUAUAAACAUUUGCCUAUGCUUAAAAAAAAACAUAACAUUAUGUACAUAAAUUGCAAAAUAAAGGACAUAUAUAUUAUAAAGUAUUAGAACAUAUUGAAACAUAGGGAACAAACCUAAAAUAUUAUUUGUAAGCAUAAGCCUAUCGCAUAACAUCCUUGCAUCUUACUUGCUUAUUGUUACAUGUUUGUGCAGCGUCUCUUAGUUAUUUUGUACUGUCUUGGGCCAAGGAACAACUUCAUUGUAUAUUCAUAUACACCAUUUACGUUCGAUUUGGAUCCAGAGUUAGGUGCCAGCAUGUCUUUAGGUUAGAUGUUUGGACUCAUAUGUGAUGUGCUUAGUGCCCGCUUCAUGUGAUGUAGUACUAGAACGUAAAAUCUAAACCCAACAUUUUCCAUUGUCAAAAUAUCUCUGAAAUGGACUUGUGCGCGUACAUACAUUAAUGAGCAGUGGCUUAUGCUUUGAGAUGAUUGUUGUAUACGUACUCUGUAUUCUUCGACUUACGAUAUAUGUCGGAUACUAUAUAGUAGUACGUUGUAUUAUUAUUUUUGGGGAACAAUAUACUUGUUUUACAGCGAGGGGUUACACGUUUUCAAAAAGGUUUUCCAAGCUUUAUUUUGUAGGCCCACUCACCCUUAUUUGUCUUCCCGCUAGGAUUUAAGUGGUAGAGCUUUUAUGACAACGAGGAUUGCUGGCAAGCGCUGACAUAUAGGAGGAUUUCUCCCUUCGGUAUAAAUGUUCUUUAUCUUUUACUAUAAGUUACUUGUAUCUGUCAUCACUUGUGUGAAAAGUGUUUAACUCCACCCACAUGCGCACUCUAGAAUUAGUUACUCUAGGUUUAAAUUAGUCUACACUUUCCACAUCACCAUUACUUUAUGGCUUUGUCACCUUCCAGGUGUCGGCCAACACAACUCAAUUCAAUUGUCCAGGUGGACAUUUUGGGUCGGGGUGUGUCAUAAUGAGUGUUCAUCCAAUUAUUUAAUCAGUCUAUUACAAUUUAUUAAAAAAAUUACAAUGAAAAUUAUCUAUUUUCUGUAUAAGUAAGAGUUUUGACUUAGGCAGUCUAGGCGGGCGCCUAGGUAGGUUUAGGUAGACAAAAUUGUCAGGCCUUUGUGUAGAGUUCAAUCUGAUGUACCCAAAAUAUUCUGUUCUUCUUUUCGAUGUGUGUACUUUCACUUAACAACAAUUUUGUGGAACUUGUCAACUGCAACCCACAAGGAAUUGGAACUCAUUUUUGUCCUUAACACUGUCAAAAAACCAUGAUGUUUGGUGGAAGAAUUAGAUUGAACGAGUUCGAAAAUUUUCAAUCAUAGAUUUUUUGUUCUUGAACCAAAUUCUUUAAUUUUGUGUUCUUUGGAAAAAAGACUCAAGAAGGUAGUUUUCAGAAUUUUCGACUGAGUUUGGCCCUUUGUUUGUUAAACUGAAUGAAAGUCAAGAACAGAAAUUUAAAUUUCUUGAGUACUAGACAAUUUCGGUACCUUAUUUAGACAAUUUCGGCACUUGGUGCGAUGGCAAGUGCCUUCGCCCAUGAGCGGUAGGUCUCGGGUUCGAGACUUGGGAGCAGCCUCCAUAAAUGGGGGUAAGGUUAGCCGACAUUCACCUUUCCCAGACCCUGCGUAAAGCGGGAGCCUUGUGCACUGGGUACGACAUUUUUAAGAGGUCGCACUUGGUGCGAUGGCAAGUGCCUUCGCCCAUGAGCGGUAGGUCUCGGGUUCGAGACUUGGGAGCAGCCUCUCCAUAAAUGGGGGUAAGGCUAGCCGACAUUCACCUCUCCCAGACCCUGCGUAAAGCGGGAGCCUUGUGCACUGGGUACGACCUUUUUGUAGUUUUGAAAACUAAGCACAUAGUUUGUAAAAUAAAAAAAGUUUAUCCAUUGCAUUCUUUUUCUUUUUCUGUUGUUUUGAAACUUGUCUAUUCUGCAGAUAUAGAUUGCAUACCAAAGUAUCGAAGGCCAAAAUGGAGUCAGCUGCAUCACUAUUGAUUGGGAAAAUUGCGGCCAUUCUUGAGAACGAAGCAUCUUCCAUAGCGGCAGUCCGUGAUGAAGUUGAUGAGCUUAAGCUGGAGCUCAUAAGCAUGAAAUCUUUCUUAAUAGAUGCUGAAGGCAAGGAACCACAAACAGAAGGAGUGAAAACGUGGGUUACAAGCGUCAGAAAUUUGACCUGCGAUGCGGAAAAUGUCAUUGAUGAGUUCCUGUAUCACAUAUAUGACAAGCACAGUGCGAGUCCAUCUGCAAAAUUGCUCCACAGAACCAUUUACUUUCCAAAGAAUCUUUGGUAUAGGCAUCGAAUAGCCAAAAAAUUACAGAAAAUCACAAAAAAGAUCAAAGCCAUUCCAGAGAGGAAUGAGAGAUAUGGUGUCUCUACAAUAGAAGGAACAACUUCGGAUAGUGUUCCCAGAUGGGUGAAGAACAAAGCCCAGUCUUCUCUUUAUAUUAUGGAAGACGAACUAAUCGGGAUUGAAGACAAGAAGCAAACGUUAAUGGGAUUGUUGAUGAAUGGAGAGGAAAAUGAAAUGGUUGUGUCUGUGGUCGGGAUGGGAGGAUCAGGCAAGACAACUCUUGUUGCCAAUACCUUCAACAACGAAAAUGUAAAGCGACAUUUUGACUGUUAUGCAUGGAUCACUGUUUCUCAAACUUAUGUGAUCGAAGACUUAUUCAAAAAUCUGAUCAAGCAAUUCCACCAAGGAAGAAAGGAAGAGGUGACUGAACAUUUGAAUUCCAUGAGUUAUGAAGAAUUGUUAGAGAUGUUGUCGACAUACUUGAAGUCUAAAAGGUACCUACUUGUAUUGGAUGAUGUGUGGGAUAUUAAACUUUGGCAAGAAAAUAAGGAUACCACUUCUUAAUAGACAUCAUGGAAGUCGAAUCAUGCUUACAACUCGAAAGAAAGGCAUAGCUUCCUAUUCUUUUGAAGUUGAAAGUUGUCCUAUUGAAAUUGAACCCUUAGAAAACAAUGAAGCUUGGAAGCUCUUUAGCAAGAAAGCAUUCUCAACUUACGAUAAUAAAUCGUGUCCACCAGAGCUUGAAUCAUUAGCAUGGAAACUUGUGGAAAAGUGUGAAGGCCUACCUCUGGCUGUGGUAACUUUAGGUGGUCUAAUGUCUUCCAAGAGGUCAUCAUCGGAAUGGAGAAGAGUAUACAACAGCUUAAAUUGGCACUUGACUAACCAUCCUAUGCUAGAAUCAAUGAGCAGCAUCUUGUUGCUUAGUUUCAACAAUUUGCCCAACCGGUUGAAGCCAUGUUUCCUAUAUUGUGCCCUUUUCCCAGAAGAUUAUCUCAUCAGAAGAAAAAGGUUGAUCAAGUUGUGGAUAGCUGAAGGGCUUGUUGAACCAAUUGAUGGGGUCACACCAGAAGAAGUUGCAGAGGACUAUCUUGUGGAACUUACUGGUCGUAGCAUGCUACAAGUUGAACUAAGGAAUGAAGCUGGAAGACCAAAAGCAUGUAAGAUGCAUGAUCUUAUGCGUGAGCUUGCUUUGUCGACAUCAAAAAAAGAAAAGUUUGGUGCAACAUAUGUUGGCCGAGAUAUAGUAGAUAAAGCUGAAAUCCGUCGAUUGUCAAUUCAAACAACUGAAGGGGAAAUUAAUUCUUGCACAGGUAUGUCAGAGCUUCGCUCCUUUCUUGUCUUUGGCACGUUAAAGAAAUUGCCUUCUGGAUUCAAGUUGUUGAGAGUUCUAGAUCUGGAGGAUGCCCCAAUUGAUAGAUUUCCAGAUGAACUAGUGUACUUGUUCAACUUAAGAUAUUUAAAUUUGAAGGGAACUUUAAUUGAGGAGCUUCCAGAAUCCAUCGGACGGCUUCGCAACCUUCAAAACUUGAACAUCCGUGACAGUAAGAUAAAGGCACUUCCAAAAGCAAUCUCCAAGUUAGUAAACCUACGCCAUCUAACAAUGUAUCGUUACACUAAUUAUCAUUAUGGCUUUAUGUAUGUCAUUGGGAUAAAAGCAGCAUCCGAUCUAAGUAACUUACAGAAACUGCAAGUUUUGCAAUCUGUUGAAUCAGAAGGAAGGAUUAUUAAAGUCAUCAGGAAUAUGACCCAACUUACAAGCCUCGGUAUUACAAAUGUGAAAGCAAGUGACGAGAUGGACCUAUGUGACUCCCUUCAAAAGUUAGAGCUCCUUCACUAUUUGUUUUUGAUGGCAAGUGAUGAAGAGGAGUUUCUUCGAGUUAAUGCACUACGUUCGCCUCCUCCAAACCUUCAAAAGGUUUAUUUGGCCGGAAAACUAGAAAAGGUACCGCUUUGGUUUGGUUCACUCCAUAACCUGACACGUAUGCAGCUAUAUUGGUCUAGACUUGAAGAAGAUUUGCUACCACACAUUCAAGCAUUGCCGAAUCUUGAGAGGCUUGAGCUAGUUAAUGCAUAUGUUGGCGAAAAAUUGUGUUUCUCCAGAGGCUUCAUAAAGCUUAAGCGUUUGGAUUUGCGCAACCUCCCCUUAUUGAAUAGUAUAGCUAUAGAGAAAGGGGCGAUGCCAAAUCUCCAGGUCUUAGACAUUUGGGAAUGCAUGGAGUUAAAGACAUUGCCAGAGGGCAUUGAGCUCCUUGCUAACGUAGAACGCUUGAUUCUGGGUCAUGUUCCAAGGCAACUUAUAGAGUCCGUAAAAAAGAGGCAUGGAUCAUCCAAAGGUACAACACUUUCCUGAAAUCAGCCUGUAUUACAUGGGACACCAUGAAAGAUUGUCCGGUAUUCACUCUCGUAGAAGGUACGCACACUUUUAUCCUUGCAUAAAAAUUUGAGUAAUGCUAGACUUAUCACAUUUUACAUACUAUAUAUUGUGUACCACCUUUUUAAUAGAGGUAGGGUCCAUCAACAUAUGUGGGUCUCAUUUCAAUUAGAGAGGUGAUACAAAUAUGGUAUGAAAAAUGUGGUAAAAGUAGCAUUUUUGUAAAAAAAAUUCCACAAUGUAAUCAUUUGAACUAUAUUCCUCUUGUUUUUGUUCGUUAUUAUUUUGAUUUAUUCAAUUCUAAGGCUACGAAAAAGAGGAAGUAGUGCAUCGGAGUGUAAAAAUCAUUUUGCCUUAUAAUUUGCAUGUUCAAUCUUAUUCACAAGUCUGGCAAAGACAUAAUAUAUGCAUGCAUUGAGAUUUUAUUCAGUAACUGUGUUUCGUUUGUCUUGUAAUAUCCUUUUUGUAGAAUCAAGCCUCAGAAGCACUUGUGAGACUGCAAUCUUUUUUGCCAAUUGAUUUUGUGGUGAAUCUCGACUUUCGUUAUAGUAACAUAUCAGACUAUAUACGUGUGGAGUCAUUCACCCUGCAAGGAAGAAUCCGUUUGUUGUUUGUGUGUUGUGUGAAGUUGCAAACAUUGAUCGAUCUUGGUUUCUUAUUUGCCCUUUUUGAAAUUGAAUAAUGCCCAAUAUUCUAUUUGUGUAACUGAAACUUAUAUUGAUUGCUUGCGUGUGUUUUGAUGUAAUAAUUUUAGUUUGGAACUAAAUGUGUCACUGAUGAGAAUAAUGCCCAACAUUCUGUUUGUGUGUUACAAGAACUUAUAUUAUUGUUUGCUUACGUGUAUGUUGAUGGAAUAAUAUUGGUUUGGAACUAAAUAUGUCAUUGAUGAGACCAAUUCUAACUAAACCAAUGGUUAUGACCCAUUUUUCAUUUUCAAUAUUUAUUGUUUUUUUUUUUUUCAAGUUUUCAAAUAUAUAUAUUGUUUUAGGAAGGUAAAUUUUGUGGCGGAUGCUUUAGCUCACUAUGGUUUUAUUGCUAUUGAGAAUUAUUUGAUUUGAUGGUACGGUAUUACCAUGUCGGGUGAUAUACUUCCAUUCAAAUUUUAACAUGAGUGCAGUUUCUUACGGCUGGAUUAAAAACUUUUUUAAUUAUUUUUUUUUUCAGUUUAAACAAAAUUAAAAGAAAAAAAAAUUCUCAGCUCCUUCCGCCAAAGCCCCAGUUCCCCACCACCACCUUCAUUCCCUGCCAUCAAUUGCCAUGAUUGCCUGCCUCCUGAGAAAUCACAUCCACCGUCAUAAGAAAUAAUAUCAACCUUAAAGAAUUAAUAUUCACCUUCAACAUCCAGCAAUCAGUCCCCAGUGGCUCCUCAAGGACUCAGCCAUCGAAAUCCCCCAAAGCCCCAACGAAGUCUGAGUUGCGAACGGCUCCCUGCCGAAAUCUCCAUCUCGAAACACCGCCACGGGUCUCCAACAUCCGUUGAACUCGGCGUCAUCUUCCUCCGUUCCACGUCUGUACAAAUGGCAAGUUUGAAGUGAAAGUACCACAACUGACGUGGUGAUACUGUAUCAUUCUACAAUUUAUCGUCUCACGCUAGCUAACCCUCAUUUUUGGGACCAUUGCUUGCCUUAUCGCUCAUAAUGCUUGUAUGGGAUAGAUGUACAAGAAGAUUUAGUCUUUAAUAGAAAUUUCUUUGUUGAUAAAAAAAAAAAAAUGUGUGUAUAUAUAUAUAUACCGUAUUAGAAGAAAAUAAGUGAUUUUUGUAAAGUAAAUAAAUAAUAAGAAUAAUGUUAAGUACACUAAAUGAUGUGGCCCAAUCAAAAUUUUACUUUAAUUCAAGUUUGAUUUGAUUAAUAAUUGUAAUAAAAAUUUAGGGGUAUUUGUCGUUUUCUCCUCUGAACUUGUAAGGAAAUGCCAAUUUCCCCUUGAACUUUAAUUUUAGCCAAUUACCCCAAUGAACUUUUGUAAUUAGCCAAUUUACCCCUUGAUGUUAGAUUUGAGAAUUUUCCAUCCAAUUUUCCAUCCAACUCGGUCACAUGCAUGGCACAUGCCAAAUUUUUAAGGGUAAAAAAGUAAUUUUAUCCCUAAUGUAGACAUUCUAUCUUUAUUCUUCUUCUCUUCCACUAGUUCACUUCGUACAAUUUUGUCUAAAUUAGCUAUAGAAGUCUAAUUAGCAACUGAAAAAUAUUGGCUCAGUGCCCAGUUUACCAAAAUGAAAUUAACGAUUCUUACUUCGAGUGCUUUAAUAAAGUAAACAACAUCCACAAAAAAUAUGCAACAGACUUAACAGCCUUAACAGCCUUGCACCUAGCAUCCACAAAAAAUAUGCAACAGACUUAACAACAUCCACAAAAAAUCUACUGCAUAAUCCUAUUAAAAGACCAACUUAAUCUCAACACCAAAGGUUUUCAUUAACAGGACGAAAUGCCUUCGAACACAUUAUAGUUAUACUCUCCAUGGUCUUGGCUUUUUGGCAACACGUUGGGGUUGUGAUGCCAUUUCAUUAGCCUUUCUUGUGACUUGAUUCACACGACCGCCUCGGUACACCUAUUUGAACUCAACACGAAAGCAACAAAAAUGUUAGCAAACCCAAAACAACAAAAAUUAAUGUAUAACAAAUAUUUUUGUUUUUUAAUAAAAAAAAGACAGAUUCUUGUUAUUACAUGUAGUUUAGAAGUUCCUUGUGGCCUAGUUUGAGAUGGAGCAGCCCCCGAGUGAUGAUGUGCACCAGUUUCCUACAUCAAAACCAUUUAUACUCAAUUAUUUAUGUUCACCUAGCGACUAGAUAAGUGAUAUAACAAAACUCAAAAUAAAUACAAUCCUUAUUGAUCAAAUUACCUCUUUUGUGGGCACAAAACCUUGUUGUGAUUGUAGUAGCCUUUGUGGACAGCUUCUUUUGUUGUGUCCUUCCUCUCCACAGGUUUGGCAAUGCAUUACAACAUCAUAUUUCCUUAGCUUUGUUGGCCCCUUCUUUAUCUCAUCCGAUGCUUUUGUUCUUUUGCCUUUAGGUCUUCCAAGUUGCUUGUGGUAAAAAGGGGGUUUAAUAGGCCUAAGACCAGUUCUCUUCCACUGUUCUUUUCCAGGCAUAGGAGCAAUAUACCCUUCAUAACACCUAUCAUAAGCUGGCCUUUUGUAAAGUGAGUGAACAAACACUUGUGGACUAGCCUCCUUCCUAGCAAUUGCGGAUAUAGCAUGAGGUCAAGGAAUGCCACAUAGCUGCCACUUCCUACAAGAACAAGUGUGCCUUUCCAAAUCUACUACAAACAUACUACCAACCAAAGUAUGCACUUGAUAUUGACCAUUCCCUGAAUAAUUGGCAAAACAAUUGAAACCAUCCAUUUGAUUUUUUUUUCAACAAUCUUUAAAAUUCUAGGUCCAACCUGUUGGGUCCACUUAGCUUCUCUUAGCCUAGCCAUUCUCAACAUCAAAUAUUUUUGAAUCCUUUGUAACAUCGUAAUAAUCGGUUUAUCUCUUGCAUCUAAAAUUGCAGAAUUAAAUGACUCACACAUGUGAAUAACAAAUCACACUUUACUGAUGUUCUGAAAUGAGAUCUGCUCCAAUGGCAAGGUGGCUUAUCAGCUAGCCAUUUCACUGCCUUAUCAGAUUGAUAGACAAUCUGGUUCAACUUUAAAUGGCUUAUCAGCUAGCCACACAUAACCAGUUGAUAGACAAUCUGGUUCAACUUUAAGUGGACUUUCAAACCCUUGAUAUGUAUUAAUGCAGGGAUUUUGACGUGGAAAGAAAGAUAACUUGGUCAACUUUCAGUUGCUGAUCAACUGGCAUAGCCACCAGGCAAUCGCCAAACAUUAAACCAAAUGCCAGUACAAGUUUGUUGCUCAGUUCUAUCCGACAAGUCGCAUAAAUAUGGUACUUACACAAAUGUCUUCUAUCUUUUUCAAUAAUUACAACCCAUCCCCUUCUUGAAAAAUUUAAAAGGUUGAAUGGCGUGUGGGUGUGGCUGGGCUGGGAUUAGGGUGGGAGGGUGUGGGACGCAUAACUGAAUAAAACAAUGAAGGGACCCCAUAUACACACACGACUGGAAAAAUAACACGCAAAGCAAACCUUUCACAUAUUAAACAAACUGAAAAAGAAAAAGUGAAGACUUACUGUAUCUUGGAGGAUGCCCACCAUCCCUGACCACGAUACUCAUCGUUCUCAACUUCAAAACUCAAAAUACCUUCAAUAUUUGGUAGCAAUUUGUUGAUUUCACUGUCUAUUCUCCUUAUCUUUUCCCAGACUGUAACCCUAUAAUGCCCAAUUCUUUAUGGCUCGCCUUCCCCUGCUUCUCCAUAUACCCAACAACGAUUAGGUUUGGUUGUGGUGUAUGAUUACCAUUUUGUCCUCACACCAUUAGCAUGUGCAGAGCACGUGAUCGAAUUGGAUGGUAAAUUCUAAAAUAUAACGGCAGAGGGUAAAUUGGUGAUUUACACAAGUUUAUGGGGGUAAUUGGCUAAAAUUAAAGUUCAGGGGGGAAAUUGACUAUUGCUUACAAGUUCAGGGGGUAAAUCAGCGAAUACCCCAAAAAUUUAUAUGGUGUUAUACGUGUCAUAUCAUUUAGUGAACACAUUUGGCGCAUAAAUUUGGUGUAUAUAGCAUCACCCAAAAAAUAAUAUUAAAUGGGUGGUGUUAUUCAUAUUUCAUACACUCAUUUUUACGUCUCACACGUAUUUUUCAAUUUCAGGUCGUCAGAUCAAAUAAAUUGAAGAAAUCAAUGAACAAAAUCAACAAGAAUGUAUGACAAAUAAAAAGAAGUGCGUAAAUAGCAAUGUACUACCCUAAUAAUAAUAUGAUUGACCGGUUUGUGUAAAUAUCUUACUAAUACCAAAAAAAUAAAUAAAUGAUAUUCAUUAAAAACCUUUGUCGAUGUACAAUACACAAAUCUCACAUUCCUAAGGAAUUUAUGUAUUUUAGGUAAAGAAUAUAUAUGUCAUAUCCCGGCCCGGGGCGAAUCACUUCCUGGGCCCGCUCCACCACCGUAGCACGAUAUUGUCCACUUUGGGCCCCGACCACGCCCUCACGGUUUUGUUUAUGGGAACUCACACGAGAACUUCCCAGUGGGUCGCCUAUCAUGGGAGUGCUCUUGUGCGCUACUUGCUUAACUUCAGAGUUCGGAUGGAACCCGAAGCCAGUAAGCUCCCAAAAGGCCUCAUGCUAGGUAGGGAUGAGAAUAUACAUAUAAGGAUCACUCCCAUGAGCGAUGUGAGAUCUUACAAUCCACCCCCUUAGGGGCCCGACGUCCUCGUCGACAUAUCACAGUCAGGGUUAAGCUCUGAUACCAAUCUAUCACAUCCCGGCCCGGGGAGGAUCACUUCUCAGGCUCGCUCCACCACCGUAGCACAAUAUUGUCCGCUUUGUUUCUGGGAACUCACACGAGAACUUCCCAGUGAGUCACCCAUCAUGGGAGUGCUCUCGCGCGCUACUCGCUUAACUUCAUAGUUCGGAUGGAACCCGAAACCAAUGAGCUUCCAAAAAAUCUCGUGCUAGGUAGGGAUGGGAAUAUACAUAUAAGGAUCACUCCCCUGGACGAUGUGGGAUCUUACAAUCCACCCCCCUUAGGGGCUCGAAGUCUUCGUCGACACAUCACAGUCAGGGUUAGGCUCUGAUACCAAUCUGUCACAUCCCGGCCCGGGAAGGAUCACUUCCCGGGCUCGCUCCACCACCGUAGCACAAUAUUGUCCGCUUUGGGCCCCGAUCACGCCCUCACACGGUUUUGUUUAUGGGAACUCACACGAAAAACUUCCCAGUGGGUCACCCAUCAUGGUAGUGCUCUCGCGCGCUACUCGCUUAACUUCAAAGUUCCGAUGGAACCCGAAGUCAGUGAGCUCCCAAAAGGCAUCGUGCUAGAUAGGGAUGAGAAUAUACAUAUAAGGAUCACUCCUCUAGGCAAUGUGGGAUCUUACAAUAUAUAUAUAUAUAUAUAUAUAUAUAUAUUAUUGUUAUUUUUUGAGCAAACGAUAUUAUAUAAUUAAGGGGAAGUUGAGCUCUUACAUGACGGCUUGGGUUCAAAUCCCGUCGUAGUUAAUCUAACAAAAUCUAUCGUUUAACAAGAAAAAAAGGGGGAGCGGUAUGAUGUGGUUCAAAUUCGUCUUUGGCGAGAAUCGAACCUAAGACCUAUCACUUACAAGUGAAGAGGAAUACAAAUAUAUCAUAGUAAUGAGUGGCUUUAGGUUAAGAAUAUUAACAAAAAGAGCAUUCUAGAAUUUAGAGGUUGGGGUGUGAUAUCCACACACCUUUUUUUUACUUUUCACACACCCUUCUAAUUUUCGGCCGUUGGAUCGAGUGAAUUGAAGAAAAUCAAAGGGCAGAAAUUAACAAGAGGUGUGUGAGAAGUAAAAAGAUGUGUGUGGAUAACACACCCAUAGAGGUUGUGGUGUUUCAAACAAGUUCAGUUGAUAAUGUUCUCACAUGAUUGACAAAUGACAAAGAAUGCAUUCUAGAAUUUGCCGCACGGCCAACAUGGUCCGUCGACUGUAAAUGUUUAGAAGACCCUAAAUUAUACGUGCCAAGAGCUACAUAGACCUUAUUCGGAAUGGGUACAUAAGUACAAUGUAUGACGUUUUAUGCUAAUAAUACAAUGACGACAUGUGUAGGUUUCUCUUUACAAGACAAUUUAUCAUUGCAAUAAGAUGCCAUAGUGAUAGUAUAUUUGUGUCAUGUAAGUUACUCUCAUAAAAUAAAUAUUGUGGAGCCAAAAAUAAUUCUAAAAAUUCAGAAGACGACACGUGUACUUUAUUCCGAAGAAGACAAGAUUGACCUCAUUAAAUUAGGAGGGGCAAACAAAUACUCGCACGUGCACGUGCAACUUCUCGGGAAGUUCAAGCAGCUAACUACGACUGCUUAAACCUCUCUUGGGGGAAGUCACAAGUAUUAAAUAUAGGGUUAAUUACUAAAUCUUAUUUUUAAUACAUUCUCAAUCGAAGAUCAACUCAAUCAAGUAAGGAAUCCCUACAUAUCACAAUCAAUUAGGGAUGUUUCCACCAUUAUCCCAAGAUAGUUUCUCCUAAUUAAUAUAUUGGGAAUAUUUUUUCCUCAUUCAGAGCAACUCCACCCUUGGAGCCAUUCCCCCUGGCAAUCCACUAUUGAAUCCACCAUAUUGAACAGUAACUGCCUUUAAUGAAUAGUAACUAUCAUUAAUGAACAGUAAUUACCUUUUGCAUCUCCACCCUUGGAGCCCUCCCCCCUGACAAUAGGUAAUAAAAUAUUAUUAUUUUUUGUUUGUUUAAAUAAUACAAAAUAAAAAAAAAACAUUGAAAUGGGGCUGUAGGCCUUCGGGCUGACACAAAAAAAAUAAAAAAUGCCUGGCCCUUGGGCUGCAGGCCUGUCAAUUCCACACCCCCAUUGUGCUCGAGCUCUCCAAGGCUGGAGGGUUGUCCACCGGGCCUCGGGCCCUUUCCUGAUGCCUGUCCCCCAAGCAAUCCACAAGGGUGGACUUGCUCUCAUCCAACGGAUGAGAAACGUUUCUUUCAUAUGAAGAAACUCGCCAGUUAUUCCUUCUAUAUUUGUGAUAGAGUGCAUCUUCACACGAAAGGAUCAUUCGGUUCUUGUCAUGUGAAAUAUGUGUUUCUCGGAUUUGCAUAGUAAUUUUGUGCACAGAAUCUUAUGGCUUCAGUUUUUUCCAGGUGAGCAGGUUGUGUAACUUGAUUUUGUUAUUAUUCUUUUGUAAACACGAUAUUCUCGUUCGGUUGCUACGAUUAUCAGUGUGGCCGGAAUACUACUUGUCCCAAACGCAUGGGGAAGUGCUCUAUAUUGUUCGUGAACUCCGUGUGUUAUGGGACUGUUGUUCCUGUUCAUGGGUGGAUUCUGACAAGCUGCAACACCAGGUAAUGUAGCUUGUACAUCAACUGUUUCAUGUUUCCAUAAGUGGUGAGAUAAAUUUGUUGGGUCUGAUUGAUUCAAACAGGAUUAUGGUACCCUUUUGAUGAAGGAGGCCGAGCGGUUUGCUAGCCGGGGAGCAUCGAUAGAAAAAGACUGCUUGAGCUUGAAGGGAAACACCCAAAAAUAAGACUAAGGUUAGACUUUAUGCAACAAAUGACUGAGACUUUAUUGUUAGCAUAUUGAAUAGAAGGACGACGUCCAAAUAAUACAAAUUUUGAACAGCAAAACCGAACCACCUCCUAACGAAUCUACCUAGCUAUUUUUCUUGUGUUACUUUUUCAUUCUCUAUUCUUCAUGUUGAUUUCCAUAUUGAUCUUCUGCUUCGGACUGUGAACAGAAUUGAAUCAAAAGAACCAUAUGAGGAAACCAACAUCAAGUGCGCAACGGAAAAGUUGCUCCUUUUGUGACAGAAAGGUCAUGGUUCAAGUCGUGGGAACAAUCUAUCUGCAGAGUAAGGGUAAGACUGUAUACGAUAGAUGUCCUCCUCCUGACCCUCACAAAGUGGAAGACUUGUUGCCUUGGGGUCGUCCUUUUACUUUUUGAUUCUUAAAUCUUGAUGUUGAUGUCUGUCUUGCUCUUCCGCUUCGGACUCUAUCCUUUAAAGAUAUAAUUAUCGACUACGAACUGAUAAAUUUUAGUUAGAAACCCUUUCAUUUCAGAUGAAUAAGCUCUGACAAAAUUCGUCAUUUGUCAUUUGGCUCAAAAAAUUGACCCCCACAGGAAAUUUACAACUUCAACUAUGAGAAUUAUGCAUUGCACACUCUUGGAAAUAUAUAGCUAAACAAAUUUAUGAAACCUUUUAGCCCUCCGACUAUUUUGCUUCUUGAAAUGAGUUUCACGACUUUGAAUAGACAUUUAAUUCCUUUCUUGAUAUUGUCCACCAAAAUCUCGAAAAACUUUUGAGUCUGCUACCAUGCACAUGAGGAGCAAGCUUUCUGGCAAUGGGUUUUACUCGGUCCUCAAUAAUAUAUCAACCUCUGAUCGAGUCGCCCCACUCUGCUUAUUCUCCAAAACCUUCAUCAUCAGUUGUUGAAUGCAUUCCAACUUUGGCCUCUCUCCCCCUUCAAGCUUUCAUAAAUCGUCUUUCCAACAACUUGCUUAACGAUCUCAAACUUCAUCGACGCGUUCUGCUUUCUUCCAAUAAUCUCGAAGACCAUAGUGAUGAGUUCUCGUUCCUCUGAACGCUCCCUUGCCAUUUCUUGUUCUUUCUUUCUGUAUAUGAGUUUGAGAUCGUUAAACAAGUUGUUGGAAAGCCAAUUUAUGAAAGCUUGAAGGGGGAGAGGGCCAAAGUUGGAAUGAGAACUCAUCACUAUGAUUUUCGAGAUUAUUGGAAGAAAGCAUAACGCGUCGAUGAGGUCAGAAGUUAAUGUUCAGUUAAUGUCUAAGUUUGAGAUCGUUAAGCAAGUUGUUGGAAAGCCGAUUUAUGAAAGCUUGAAGGGGGAGAGAGGCCAAAGUUGGAAUGCAUUCAACAACUGAUCACGAAGGUUUUGGAGAAUAAGCAGGGUGGGGCAACUCGAUCAGAGGUUGAUAUAUAUUAUUGAGGACCGAGUUUGAAAUCAUUAUGAAGCGCGUUGCUGAAAAUCCAUUGCCAGAAAGCUUGCUCUUCAUGUGCAUGGUAGCAAACUUAAAAGUUUUUUGAGAUUUUGGUGGACAAUAUCAAGAAAGGAAUUAAAUGUCUAUUCAAAGCCGUGAAACUCAUUUCAGGAAGCAAAAUAGUCGGAGGGCUAAAAGGUUUCAUAAAUUUGGUUAGCUAUAUUUCCAAGAGUGUGCAAUGCAUAAUUUUCAUAGUUGAAGCUGUAAAUUUCUUGUGGGGUCAAUUUUUUGAGCCAAAUGAAGAAUUUUGUCAGAGCUUAUUCAUUUGAAAUGAAAGGGUUUCUAACUAAAAUUUAUCAGUUUGUAACUGAUAAUUAUAUCUUUAGAGGAUAGAGUCCGAAGCAGAAGAGCAAGACUGACAUGGCCAUCAAGAUUUAAGAAUGAAAAAGUAAAAGGGCAACCCCAAGCUACCAAGGUUCUCCGCUUUGCUAACAUCUAUCGUAUGCAGCCUUCAAAGGAACAAGCACUCAUCGUGAUGGUCUUCGAGAUUAUUAUAAGGAAGCAGAAUGUCGACGAGGUCAAAAGUUGAUGUUCAGUUAAUGUUCGUUUGAGGUCGUUAAGCACUCAGUUGCUAGAAAACCGGUUUCUAGAAAGCUUGAAUGGGGGGAGAUGUCAGAGUUGGAAUGCAUUCAAGAACUGAGGACAGAGGUUUUCAAGAAUGAGCAAAGUGGAGCAACUCAAUCAAAGGUUGACAUAUUAUUGAGGAGUUUGAAAUCGUUAUGAAGCGCGUUGCUGAAAAACCCGUUGUCAUGAAGCAAAGCAGUCGAAGAGUUGAAAGGUUUCAUAAAUUUGGUUGGCUAUAUUUCGAAGUGUGUGCUAUGCAUAAUUUUCAUAGUUGAAGCAGGAAGGUAGCCCAAUAUUCUUCGUCGCGAUGGAUGUACAUCCUGCUGACUCCAGUGCUCAGGAAGCUUGGAGGGCAUCUUAGACUGGAGUUGUAGGCAUGCCAUAGCCACACACGAAAAAAGUAUGAAAGCAACAGUUCAUGGGGCACAGGUAACUUCAAUGGACAUUGUGUCAGUUAAAAAACAAUUAAAGAAGAUAACAGAGCUUGCAAUGAAUGGAGAAAGGUUUCAGAGGGCAGGGCGUUUAUGCAUAGGCCUCUCCCCCAUAUACUAAAUAAAUCACUCAUCGCAUGAACAGCAUGUGAUUGUAGCUGUGAUAGGAGAAAUUUUUCAUUGUGUCCGUAAUACGAGUGGUACACUACGUGUUAUUACGUAGGAGGAAGUUUUAUAUUGUAAGUUGUUAAUUUUUUAACACAAAUAUCUCACCACAUAUAUUGUGACAUGUGAUGUAUAAUUCCGUGUUCCGAACAAGCGCUAAAAAAAUCUCUCGAUGAGAUGAAUACAAUUGCUCCAUUUAAGAGUAUGAAGUUCAAGAAAUGGUUGAUUUUUUAUAUUUAAAUAAAAAGUUUUAAAAAAAUGCAUUGAAUCAGUUGCAAAAUAAUUUUUAUAGUUUUUUUUCCUUCUGUAUUCUUUUUUUUUUGUUAAUUCAUUUUUAAUUUAAUAGUUUAAAUAUAAAAUAAAACCAAUGAAAUUACAGUUAUAACCUUUAAUACAUAACUAGAAGAAAAAAAAAUUAGAUAAGGAAAAAAUGUGGGCAUUAAUUCCACACGAACAACUUUUUGCUUUUUUUUUUCUUUGAACCUGACAAUCAUGUCACCUUAUCUUUACCCUCUAAACUCACACUCUCUCUCCUUAACAGCCAACCCUUUUUUUUAUGUCUACCAACCCUUUUUUUUGUUUUAUCAAACAAUAUUAUUUACACUAAGGGAUGAAUGAGUGAGUUAAGUCUCAUAAUGAGCCAGCAAUAAUGCAGUUCAAAUUUACCUUUGGCGAAAAUCCAACCUCAGACCUCUCACCUACCAAUGAAGAAGAAUAUCACUAGAUCGUAGUAUUGAGUGCCAACAGUUAAAAACAAAUAACUCCUCCCUUUAAAAAAAAAGGGAAAACUAAUGAAAAUGGUUUGAAAACUUUGAGUUUUAACGAUAAAAACAAAAUAAAGGGUAAAGUGAAUAGUAUCGGAAUUGACUUUUUAGUGUAAAAAUGUGGUUUUUCGUUAAAGUGAAUGGUACCGGGAGUUUUUCUUUAAAUUCCUUUAAAAAAAACCAAUUUUUGAGAAAAGUAAAAAUAAAAAUUAUAUUUCUCACAGAUAGUGUGUGUGGCAUUUGCUAGUAUACAUAAUGUGAGAAGGCUAAAAAGGCGACACUUUCAAAAUACCUAAAAUGCCCCCUCUUCAAAGAAUGCAAUUUAAUAAAACUACUUCAAAUACAUGACUGACUAGUUACUAAUAUAGUUUUUUAUAUUUUCAUUUAGCUUUCAAUAUACCUAAAAUGCCCCGUUUUCAAAGAAUGUAAUUUGACAAAACUACUUCACAUACAUGACGGAGUAGUUACUUAUAUAUCUUUAAUCUUUAAUAUUAGAAAGCGAGAAGGAGAGUUUGGUGUCUUAAGGCUUCACCAAAAAAAAUUGGACCAUAAAACCCCUCAAACAAAAAAAAAUCAAAACUGACAGAAAAAAUACAUAUAAAAACCCCAAGGCUAAUUUCGUCAGAAAAAAAAUAUAUUUCAUUUUUUAAAAAAUAAAAUUUUAGUAGAAAAAAUUUAAAACAACAAACGUGGAAGACACAACUUCAACCACGUUCAGCAGUUUUCGAAAAAAAAGGGAAAAAAACACGAAAAAUAAAAAAGGAAAAAACUUCCGUGCAAAAACUGAAACCCAUUAUCUUGCGAACUGAAACCCCAUUAUCUUGCCAUGCCGAUAGAAUUAAAACCCACUACGGGAUCCUGUUUUCUGGAAUCUGGAUCCGUCUCUCACUAACUCUCUCUCUCUCCCUCCUCCGCAGCCACCUCUCUUUCUCCCUCCUCCACGGCCACCGCCAGCCGAACCUCCUGUCACUAGCUCCUCCCAUCUAACUAUCUAUCCUCUCCAAACCACCACCGAUUUAAUCCCGAGGUAUACACUUUUUGGUUUUUCAAUUUUUUUAUUUAUUUUUAUUUGUUUCAUCGGUACAGGCUUUUGUAUUUAUUGUAUUAAUAGGAGAAAUAACCCAAAGAGAUGAUAAUUUGUAUUUGAUUUCAAUUGCCAGAGUCGAAGCUCUGAAAAGGGAGCAGCAUCCAACCGCACUAGCAACUUUCAUGUAAGCUCCGAUCUUCCUCUCGCUCUAUCUCAGUUACCCAUUUGUUGUUCAUCUGGAUCUUGCUUCGAUUAAGCUAUUUGUGACUUAAACCGUCGCCUUCAUUGCCAUCUUCUCCAGGUACCCAACUUCCCAAUGUAAAAAACUAGGGUUCCAUUACCCUUUCGAAUUUCUCUCAUUUUUUUUGUGAUUUUGUUCCUGGGUUUGAUUCUUUAAUUUGAUUUUACUGGAAGUGUUUUACAGUUUUGGGUUGGAGAGAAGGAGAAGGAGAAAAGAGAGGAAGCAUUUUACCGAGGGAAAGGUGAAACUCUGUUUGCUUCUUUUCCCAUACAGGUUGUUCUGAUUGGGAUCAGUUUUAACCCUCUUCGUCCUUUGCACACACAACCACUCCACCUCUUCUUCUUUUUAUUUUUUUUAUAUAUCCAGGACAGUUUGAAGAUUUUGCUUCCUUGGAAAUCUAGCGGCAAGAAAACAUCCGUACGUUUUGGUUUCAAAGUUGUUCUUUAUUGUUUCAGUUUAAAUAAUUUGAUUAUUUUUUUACGAAAAUUAUGCAGAUAAGAAGAAGUCCACCCAUUGAUACUUCCAAGUUCCACGUAAGAUGUUGGGGAUCCUAUAUUUGCUUUCUUAUAUGUUUCUACAAUUUGUCUGUGUCUGAGUGUUGAGAUUUUUGGGCUUAUUAGAGCACACUAAACCGAAUAGGAAUCGGCGAGCGAGAGAGGGUGGGUGGUGCCACUGCAAUCCUACUUCUUCUGCUCUUCCAGUGCCUUCCAGGUAUUUCUCUUCAUUAUUUCUUGCUUUGUACUCUUUCUAACUUAUAUUUGUUCCAUUUUUUUUCUCAAUUUAUAUGUUGCGGUGAGAAAUAUGUCCUUUAAUUGUCUUUUUCUGUCGGCGUUUGUGAUGAUUGCUAAUAAAAGAAACGUUUGUGAUUAACCAAACGACAUAGGUUUUGCAUCAGCUGAAGAUUUUGCUUCCUUGCAAAUCUAGAGGCAACAAAUUUUGUUGUAUGUUAACCAUUCUGUUUUCUAUUUGUUUUCGUAACUCUUUUUGCUUUCGAAGUUUACUGCUCGGUUAAAUUUUUGUACUAAAUUCUUCAAGUUGUUAAGAUUGGGUAAAUUUAGGGAUUCAUGAAUGGGUCCGUGGUUGAAGCUCAGGAAAAUUAGCUCAAUCGGAUCUGCAAAUGGGUUAAUGCCUACUGUCUUAAUUUUGGUUAUGGUGGUAUAUGUUCGGCUCCGUCCUAUUAGUUUGUGUUAGUCUAUUUUUUCCUUUUUGAAAUCCCCAAUGUUAUGUGUUCUAUCAAUUCGAUAGUGUACAUUUCAUGAAUCUUUUAACUGUGAUCUAAUUUGUGUAAGCAUCAUUUUCCAUUGUUGAAUUUCAAUGCUAUGUUUCCAUAUUUUCCUUCAAUUUUACCUUUAUUAAGAAUCAUCCAAAUUGAAAUUUCAGUUUUAAGAUUUCCAGAGGACUUCAACAUAUCAACUAUGGAGGGAAUUGAUAGAAGCAAUAUGUCAGAGGUUCUUACCUUAUCUCUAUUAUUCCUCUUCUAUAGAGAUGAUUUAUUUUUUCUUCUUUUUCAAAAAUAAAAUAAAAUUCAUUCUUUUUGGCAAUUUCUCAAUGUCGGUCGACAAUGAAGAAAUUCACUUCGGACAAACAAAUGUUCAAAAUUCUCAACAGUCAAACCAAAGUUAUCGUAGGAGCAAUCAACAAAGGCAAAGACGACAAUCUAUGAAUUCAUCACAGCGGGCUCAAAUUUCAAUGCGACGACGUGCCAAUUAUCAAACACGAUUGAACUCAGUAAAUAUAGUACAAAAUCAAACGGAAGUAAACCAAGAUGAUAUAGGACCAACAUCGGUGGGUAACUAUGAUUUCUUAUUUUUUUUUGUCUCUAUUAAUUAUAUAUUUGUAAAUUCAUAUGUUGUAUGAAUAUUUUUGUACAAAUUAUUAAGACACAAUCUAUUAAGAUUGAACGAAUAGUUAUCUUACAUUGUCAUUGCCUUUCGUACUAUCAAUGGAAACAUCCACUUAAUAAUUAUGUUAUGUCUAUAACAAUUUCAACAUUCGGAUUGUAUAUAUUUACCACAGUGACCAACGUUUUAACAAGUACCCCAACAAAAAAAAACAAAUAAAAAAGGAAAGAAAUAUGUCUGGAACGGUAAGUGAUAAAUUUUUUAUGUAAACUUGGAAUAACAGUUCAACUAUAAUAGUCAAGGGAAAAAUAUAAAAACAAUUACAAUUAUGUCCAGCCAUCUUCUAGAUUAAAAUAUUAAAAUAACAGUUAAACUUGGUAAGUGAUAAAAUUUUUACGUAAACAGCUUCAAAUUUAUUGCUUCCAAUUAUGUGCAGCCAUCUUCUAGAUUUCACCCUUCACCUCCAUACUUGGUACUAUACUUUUUAAAGCAUAUACAUUAACAAUUACAAUGGAAAAAAAACUAACACAAUACAUAUUUACAGGCGCGUAGCGCCCGUGAUGCAAAAAUGCCUCUCGCACGCACGCUAGUGCAGAGAGGCUAGUUCAUUAUUAUAUUUUUAAACACAUGUAAAUUCAGUUUUUUUUUUAAUUUAUGCAUAUAACGAAGAAGAGCAAAUUGCCACACGCCUGCGAGGCUAGUAAAGAAUAUAAAUUCAGGAGGCCAAAUGGUGAAUCAUUCAUAAUCCCAAAAAUACCCUCUCUAAUUAAAAGUUUAAAUAAAACAAUUUAAUUUCACAAAAAAUACAAACUAACAAAAGAAAAAAUUGUCAAAGGUGUAAGCGUGUAGCAAGAAACUACUUGCAAAAAGAGAGAAUAACAAUACGAAAAUCAUCUUUGUCACAUUUUAGACCAAAUUGACACAUUAAGAAGUUGCCAAAUUUUUUGAGAAUAUUACUAAAUAUGUCUCAUAUUUCAAAAUCAAAUAUCAAUUCGUUUUUGAAUUUCAUACCCAAAGUUAAAAUUAAAAAUAGUUUCAGUCUUUUUAGUAUUUUUCAUAGAAUGAAAAUAAUUAUAGCCAAUUGAUCAAAAAACAAUAAAGUUUGUUCAACCUUAGACCAUCUCCAAUGGUUGUGCUAAAAACCAAAUAUUUUAGCCCGAAAAAUUUAGUUUUUAGCCCAAAAAUAGUUUUUUUGCUCCAACUGUUAUAGCCUAAAAUUUUAGCCCGGGAUUAUUAAAGAAUGAACUUAGACUAUUUUUUUUCUUAAAUUAAUUUUUUUUAAUUAAUAUGUAGACUAUCGUAAAUUAAUUUUAUGAAUAUUCUAAUAAAUUUUUUUUUAAUUCCGAUAAAUAUUUUCAUUCGGUUCGGUGGAGCUCAUACCGAUUUCUGGGCUAAAUUUUGGGGGAAAUCUGGCAUUGGUUUAGCAUUUAGCAUUUAAUCCAAAUUUUCGCCUUGGGUUGGAGUGAGUUUGGGGGAAAACUUUUAGGGUAAUUUGACUUUUAGCCACCAGAGAUGAUCUUAACAAACACGGACUGUAGCUAGACUUGUAAACGGGUUGGGUUUAUUGGGUUUGGGUCGGGUUCAACCCGACCCGUUAAGUUAACGGGUCACCCGAACCCAACCCGUUAAGCUAGCGGGUCAUCCGAACCUGAUCCGUUAAGCUAACGGGUCACCCGUUUCACCCGUUAUCACCCGUUAACAAUUAUUAUUAUUAUUUUUUUGCAUAAAGUUUAUUUUUUGUUAUUAAGACUUUACUAAAAUUACUAAAAUAUCAUCAACUAAUGGGUGCUAACGGGUGUUAACGGGUCCUAACGGGUCUAACGGGUUGACCCAAAGUGACCCGUUAGCGACCCGACUCGUUAAGUAUCCACCCAAAUACAAAUAUUAACGGAUUGGGUCAGGUCGGGUUAACGGAUUGGGUCCAAAAUGUCUCAUAUUUCAAAAUCAAAUAUCAAUUCGUUUUUGAAUUUCCUACCCAAAGUUAAAAUUAAAAAUAGUUUCAGUCUUUUUAGUAUUUUUCAUAGAAUAAAAAUAAUUUUAGCCAAUUGAUCAAAAAACAAUAAAGUUUGUUCAACCUUAGACCAUCUCCAAUGGUUGGGCUAAAAGCCAAAUAUUUUAACCUGAAAAUUUUAGUUUUUAGCCCAAAAAUAGUUUUUCUGCUCCAACCGUUCUAACAUAAAAUUUUAGCCCGGACUUAUUAAAGAAUAAACUUAGGCUAUUUUUUUCUUAAAUUAAUUUUUUUAAAUUAAUAUGUAGACUAUCGUAAAUUAAUUUUAUGAAUAUUCUAAUAAAAAAAAUUUAAAAUUCCGAUAAAUAUUUUGACUCUGUUCGAUGGAGCUCAUACCGAUUUCUCGGCUAAAUUUUGGAGAGAAUCUGACAUUAGUUUAGCAUUUAGCAUUUAGUCCAAAUUUUCCCCUUGGGUUAGAGUGAGUUUGGGGGGAAACUUUUUAGGGUAAUUUGACUUUCAACUCACCAUUAGAGAUGGUCUUAACAAACACGGACUGUAGCAUAGAAACGGCAGUUCCUGUUAAACCUCUUUUCCUCCCCUCACUCUUCUCUCCCAUGGCAACUGCAGUGCUGCCAGUAUCCGUGCCCGCCAGAAAGCAACCCCGACCCGGUCAGGGCGGAUUCGAGGCCCAUGGACUAUCCGAAGGAGAGGCCUGGGUCCGAGCCAUCGCCGAAAUCGUCAGCUCCAUGGUCGACCUCUCCCGGAAGACCAAAACGCCCUCAGGACCACCGCGUGCCGCAAGUACGGUCUCUCACGUGCGCCGAAGCUGGUUGAAAUGAUCGCGGCUCUGCCGGAGUCGGACCGUGAGGCUCUUCUCCCUAAGCUCAGGCCAAGACGGUCCGAACCGCCUCAGGCAUCGCCGUCGUGGCCGUGAUGUCGAAGCCUCAUAGGUGCCCCCACAUCGCCACCACCGGGAAUAUUUGCGUGUACUGCCCCGGUGGUUCCGAUUCGGACUUUGAGUACAGCACUCAGUCUUACACUGGAUACGAGCCUACUAGCAUGCGCGCAAUUUGGGCAGGUAUGGCUUUCUCUAGUUCAUUGACGCAUUUUAUCGAACACUUGAUAGGGAAUUCAAAAUUUAUGUUAUUCAUGAUUCGUUUCGAAGUUUAAAGUUUUCGGCUUGAUUGAUUUUUCACCAUGAAAUUGAGAGCUUUGUAAUGAAGAGAUUAUUUGAAGGAAUUGGUGUUUAAAAUUGGAUUAGUGAAGUUAAUUUGGUAGUUAAUCUUUUGGUUUUGUGUGUUUAGAUACAACCCAUAUGUCCAGGCUAGAAGAUCAGCUGAAGAGAUUGGGUCACAGUGUAGACAAGGUUUGGAGAUUUCCAUGAUAGAGUAAUAUGCAUGGUUGUCGCCUUAUAACUGGUACUGAAUUUGUGUUUUCAGGUCGAGUUCAUCUUAAUGGGCGGUACUUUCAUGUCGUUGCCCGCAGAUUACCGUGAUUACUUUAUUAGAAAUCUGCACGAUGCGUUAUUGGGACACACUUCUGCCAAUGUUGAAGAGGCAGUUGCCUACUCUGAGCAUGGUGCUACUAAAUGUAUUGGAAUGACCAUUGAAACCUGAGAUUUUAGUUUAUUUCCGAAGCCUUUAAUUUCUCAUUCUUGUGUUUAAAUUGGCUGACAGUAAUUUUUUCGCUUACCAUCUUGUUUCCAGUUCAUCUGGUCGGUCCAGAAAGUUAACAAAGGUAGUUGUAACUUUUUAUUCUGCUGGAGGCCAGAUUAUUGCCUUGGACCUCACUUGAGACAAAUGCUUUCUUAUGGUUGUACAAGACUAGAAAUUGGAGUUCAGAGUACAUAUGAGGAUGUGGCUCGGGACAACAAUAGAGGGUCAUACCGUAGCUGCAGUGGCUGAUUGUUUUUACUUGGCAAAGGAUGCUGGUUUUAAGGUCAGCCUAGUACCUUAUCAUAAAACUCACUUACCUUCACCGUGGGAAAAGAUUGGAUUUUGGACCUUUUAUAUCUACAGUGACAGGAGAUUAAUCUUUCAUCAAAAACAAUUUGUGAGCCUGGAUAUAUUUUUCAAAUUAUUGUGCUCUCCCAUAAUUCAGCGAGAAUAUUUUAUCAUAUUCUAGUCAUUCAUGUUGAUUACUUUUGUUUCACACUAAUAAUUUUAUGCAUUUGCUCUAGGUGGUUGCACAAAUGAUGCCUGACCUUCCUAAUGUAGGGGUUGAGAGAGACAUGGAGAAUUUCGGGAGUUCUUUGAGAGCCCCUCGUUCAGAGAAAAUGGCCCUAAAAUUUAACCAACACUCGUGAUCUGUGGAACUGGACUCUAUGAGCUUUGGAAAACGGGCAGGUACCUGAGCAACUUGUGGACAUUGUAGCUCGGAUCCUAGCCAUGGUCCCCCCUUGGACGCGUGUUUAUAGAGUUCAGCGAGACAUUCCAAUGCCUUUAGUUACUUCUGGGGUUGAGAAAGGAAAUCUUCGGGAGUUAGCUUUGGCUUGGAUGGAAGACCUGGGCUUGAAGUGCCGUGAUGUUCGAACACGAGAGGCUGGAAUUCAGGUAUGUGGGUAGUCAUUCUUGUUUGAGCAUGUUUUUUGGAACUGAGGUUUUGAUUUGCAAGUCGAACAAGGCAUGAAAUUCGGGUUGUUGUAAGUGGAGCGAGUGAUGAAAUAUACGGUUUUAGUUUUGAAUGAAUUUGGUUCUGAAGUUGGAGUUUUUUUGUUUGCAGGUAUACACCAGGGGAGUUCCCGUUGCCUUCAGAAACGCGGUCUGCUGAGUUCUAUAAGAUGGUGCCUAGGAUGCUUUCGGAUGCAGGUUACAACCUAUAGAAAUUAGCAGUUACUGCAAGAGUGGAUAUCACUGCAAACACAAUCUAACUUAUUGGAAGAACAAGCCUUUCUAUGCUGUCGGCCUUGGCUCCGCUAGCUAUGUCGAUGGCGUGAGGUUUUCGAGACCAAAGAGGAUGAAGAGUACACAGGUAAUGUGGAGAAUAUGGAGAAUGAUUUGGUGGAGUGCGGUGAGGUACUGUAUGGUACGUAGACGGGACAAAACGGAUGUUGUUAUGGAUAAAUUUUUCAUUGGGACCGGAAUACGGAUGGUACAUCACAUGUUUUUAUAUAAAUUGUGGGAAAUUUUAUUUUUUAAGUUGUUAACUUUUUAACACAUAUCACACAAUUUGUAUAGCAAUACGUAAUGUACCAUCCGUGUUUCGGUCACACCAAAAAUUCUCUCAUUGUUAUCUUCUCUCUUAAAAUGAAGAGAAAACGUUACAUUUAUGUACAAUUAUUGCUUCCGCUGAAAUUAAUAAUUAACAAAUGCAUUAUGAUUCUUACCCUAUUAAGAUAGAUCAUAGUUAGGGGUGAAUUUGGGUACGGUUAUCGUACUAAAAUCCUUGUACUAAAUACCAUACCAAAUUUUGGGUUUGACACAAUUUAUUAUCAUUAUUAUGCCAAAUUUUUAGCAUAACUAAUUAUGGUAUGUCAAAUAGUUAUAGUUCGGUUAACAUGGUAUGAUCAUAGUAAUUACCACUUUAUUUUGAAUCACUUUUUCAGCCUAAAAUCUGUUUUUUUUUUUAUUUAUAAAUUUAUAUUUUGUUCCCAACCCAAUUGAAGGGCAACCCCUCUCCCUUUCUUCCAUCGUUCUCCGGCUUCUACUUCUACUGGUCACUAACUAUGAAAGGUAUGAGUGUCCGCCAUGGAUGACCGUGUUCUUGUCAACAAUUUAAUUUUCCAAUAUCUUCUUCUAUUGAUAACUUUACAUGGAGUGUUGUAAGUUGUAUGGUUUACAGGACGAGCAAAAGAAGGCUGGAGGUUCUACUCAUUUAACUUUAACAUAUUUUUUAUCA
rnacentral:lncRNA from 1 species